rnacentral:rRNA from 1 species
UACGAAGGGGGCUAGCGUUGCUCGGAAUCACUGGGCGUAAAGCGCACGUAGGCGGACUCUUAAGUCGGUGGUGAAAUCCUGGAGCUCAACUCCAGAACUGCCUUCGAUACUGAGAGUCUCGAGUCCGAGAGAGGUGAGUGGAACUGCGAGUGUAGAGGUGAAAUUCGUAGAUAUUCGCAAGAACACCAGUGGCGAAGGCGGCUGCCUGGACCGAUACUGACGCUGAGACGCGAAAGCGUGGGGAGCAAACAGG